rnacentral:rRNA from 1 species
AGUGAACGCUGGCGGUAGGCCUAACACAUGCAAGUCGAACGGCAGCACAGUAAGAGCUUGCUCUUACGGGUGGCGAGUGGCGGACGGGUGAGGAAUACAUCGGAAUCUACUUUUUCGUGGGGGAUAACGUAGGGAAACUUACGCUGAUACCGCAUACGACCUACGGGUGAAAGCAGGGGAUCUUCGGACCUUGCGCGAUUGAAUGAGCCGAUGUCGGAUUAGCUAGUUGGCGGGGUAAAGGCCCACCAAGGCGACGAUCCGUAGCUGGUCUGAGAGGAUGAUCAGCCACACUGGAACUGAGACACGGUCCAGACUCCUACGGGAGGCAACAGUGGGGAAUAUUGGACAAUGGGCGCAAGCCUGAUCCAGCCAUACCGCGUGGGUGAAGAAGGCCUUCGGGUUGUAAAGCCCUUUUGUUGGGAAAGAAAAGCAGCAGGUUAAUACCCCGCUGUUCUGACGGUACCCAAAGAAUAAGCACCGGCUAACUUCGUG